GCAAGCCAUUAGCUCUUUAAAAUUACAUGGAACUGGGUAAAAAAAAUAUGGAUAGGACUUAAAAUUAUUUUAAAACAUGUUUUUAUGUUUUUUAGGACAUUGGGUAAAAGUUGGGGUGUAUUCAUAGUAGCUAUUUUUGUAGCCAGAGAGAUGGCAAAUGCAGAAGCAGAACAAGCUAUCGAGGCAGCAGCCCAGAAAGUCAUUCCAACAUAAAUGUUUUACAG
rnacentral:lncRNA from 1 species